ensembl:lncRNA
GACGCGCGGUCACGAGAAUGUUUAGCAGAAGGCUGCUUAUCAUCGUCUGUCUUCAUCUCUGUGCAGGCAUUGGACAAAAUGAAGCGUGUGAACUGGCUGAAUGUUUCAACUGUUCUCAACCUCUAGAUUUUAAUGUGACCAUAAAACCCACUUCCACUAAAGUUCAAGAGGGUGUGACCGUGAUUCUUAACUGCACUCAUAACGUUCCCAAUGGCUCCAUUAGCUGGCUAAAGGACAAUGUAUUACAAGAAAACGAAAAUAAAGAAAUAUUUCAAAUCAAGUACAUUCUAAAAACCGCAGUGAUCAACUGCCAGGUUACAAGUAGUUGUGGGAACUACAACGAUACUAUAACAAUUGAAGUAGAAGCUGCUAAUAAUUUGGUGGUUUUACUGAUUUGUGUCGGAGCAGCAGCUGCUCUCCUCAUGCUGUUUGCAAUAGUCAUGAAGAUCGCACUCAAGAGAGGACAAGCUCAGAGUCAGGCCAGGAAGAGACAAAGACAGCAGAACCUGGAGAACAUCCACAGCUCUGUGAACACCGUCACCAGCUACUACUGAGAGAGAGCGCUUCUGCAGCCCAAGCUCCUGAUUCAGAGACCUUUCAGUUCUACACUCCAAAUAUAUUUAGACCUAAAUUUAUGAACUGCAUAUACAAUUUCCAUCCAUCUGGAUUACACAGUUUUAACAUAAACUAAUAAUUGAGCUUUUAACGUGAACCCUAUGAACUUUAUAUGCGAUUCAAAUCAGUUUUGCUCACAUGUUAUUAUUAAAUGAUUUGGUGUAAAGUUGACUCGCUGGAUAGAUGGCAAUGGAAUGGCGUGUUUUUUUGACUUGUUAGGUCACCCUCAAAACACAUGCGGAAAUGAAUAAUGUGAAAUACAGUGGUCGCCUACAGUAAUCAGUGAAAACAGCAAACGAAGGAAGAUUCGUCUUUGCACCGUUUUGUGAGCAAACACUUUACAAUAAGGUUCCAAUUGUUAAUAUUAGUUAACUACAUAAACAAACAAGGAAAAAUACUUCUAAAGCAUUUAUUAGUCUUAAAUUAUGUUGAUUCCAACAUUUACUAAUACAAUAUUAACAUUAACAAGAGUUUUCUGUUAAUGUUAUUGAAUGGACCUGAGCUACCUGAACAAUGAACACUAAACAAAGAUUAAUAAAUACUGUAAUAAUGUAUUGCUCA